AAAGAACUAGUUUAGUUGUAGAAAUGAGCUCCAUUUUACAACUGUUAAUAAGGAAAUGGUUUGUGGGAAGAUCCCACACGGUUCCAUCCAUAAGAAGUGAUUCCUGAGAUGUGGACUGGCCAGAGUCGACCUGUGCAUCAGGCCAGAUGACAAGGUGUCCUUGGAUUGGCUGCCCGUCGCUGUGCUCGGCUGACCACAGGUUCCUGGAUCCAGUUUCUCAUUUCUGGGAAACAGCAAUUUAGCCUACUCUCCUGAAUUACCAAAUUGCAGUCUGUCGUGGAGUCAGCUUAGCCUGGGUUUAGUCCCGUCAAUACAAGGUGAUUCAGAGUGCUAGAGAA
rnacentral:lncRNA from 1 species